AUGAAACUCAUAGGAUGGAACUAUCGGGGUCUCGGGAAUGGCCCAGCAGUUCAAAGUCUCCUCGAUCUAGGGAGGACGGAGGAUCCCGAUGUGUUAUUUCUGGCGGAAACAAAACUGAUGGAGAAAGAGCUUGAGAGGUUCAGGUGGAUGCUGGGUCUAGCGCACAUGACUGCGUGGAACCCGGAGGGGAGGAGUAGGGGCGUGGCUUUAUUCUGA
rnacentral:rRNA from 1 species